UACGGAGGGUGCAAGCGUUAUCCGGAUUCACUGGGUUUAAAGGGUGCGUAGGUGGAUUGGUAAGUCAGUGGUGAAAUCUCCAAGCUUAACUUGGAAACUGCCGUUGAUACUAUCAUUCUUGAAUAUCGUGGAGGUAAGCGGAAUAUGUCAUGUAGCGGUGAAAUGCUUAGAUAUGACAUAGAACACCGAUUGCGAAGGCAGCUUGCUACACGAUCAUUGACACUGAGGCACGAAAGCGUGGGGAUCAAACAGG
rnacentral:rRNA from 1 species